ACCCCGGUGGUGUAGUAAUGGCACGCGUCCCCGGUAUUGACGGAACGCGGGUUCAACUCCCGUCCGAGGCC